rnacentral:rRNA from 1 species
GGCGAGUGAGCGGCAAAGCUCAAAUUUGAAAUCUAGCACCUUCGGUGUUCGAGUUGUAAUUUGAAGAUGGUAACCUUGGGUUUGGCUCUUGUCUAUGUUCCUUGGAACAGGACGUCAUAGAGGGUGAGAAUCCCGUCUGAUGAGAUGCCCAUUCCUAUGUAAGGUGCUAUCGAAGAGUCGAGUUGUUUGGGAAUGCAGCUCUAAGUGGGUGGUAAAUUCCAUCUAAAGCUAAAUAUUGGCGAGAGACCGAUAGCGAACAAGUACAGUGAUGGAAAGAUGAAAAGAACUUUGAAAAGAGAGUGAAAAAGUACGUGAAAUUGUUGAAAGGGAAGGGCAUUAGAUCAGACUUGGUGUUUUACGAUUAUCUUCUCUUCUUGAGUUGUGCACUCGUAUUUCACUGGGCCAGCAUCGAUUCGGAUGGCAAGAUAAUGGCAGUUGAAUGUGGCUUCACUUCGGUGGAGUGUUAUAGCUUCUGCUGAUAUUGCCUGUCUGGAUCGAGGGCUGCGUCUUUUGACUAGGAUGCUGGCGUAAUGAUCUAAUGCCGCCCGUCUUGA